UACGUAGGGGGCAAGCGUUGUCCGGAUUCAUUGGGCGUAAAGAGCGUGUAGGCGGCCAGGUAGGUCGGUUGUGAAAACUGGAGGCUCAACCUUCAGAGGUCGACCGAAACCAUCUGGCUAGAGUCCGGGAGAGGAGAGUGGAAUUCCUGGUGUAGCGGUGAAAUGCGCAGAUAUCAGGAAGAACACCCGUGGCGAAAGCGGCUCACUGGACCGGUACUGACGCUGAAGCGCGAAAGCGUGGGGAGCAAACAGG
rnacentral:rRNA from 1 species